GAAUCCACACUAAUUACAUGUGUUGUUUUUCUAUCUGGGCUUCAGAAGAAACAAUGUAUUUCAAUAAUUGGUAGAAAUUGAAUUGUAAUUUAAUAGAAAGCCAAGCGCUCUCUCAGUGCAUCCCACUGUGUGAUUUAUGUUCUGUAAGGAAUUCCCUCAUGUUUGUCAUACAGAAAGCAAGGUUUAGACUUUUGUUCUUCCUUGCAGAAGGAAGGGAAAGGGUAAACAAAAGAAAUCAAUUAUAAAUGUUGCAUUAAUAAGGAUGAAGAUAGACUAUAUCUGUCAUUGGGAAAAGCCCUGGCUCAAUUCCCAAGGGACUGACUGCCUCUCAACAGUUUUGGCUUAGCAAAGGCGUUUGAGCAGGCUAUUCUUGGUCAGAUAAAGAGAAGCAGUGCUGGCAGUUCACACACUGUGCAGGCUUGAAAUCUCUGCAGUGUGCUCCCUAGCUGGGUCCAGAUGCACUGAUUCUCCAGGCACAGUGAAGGACAUAUUUAUUUGAUCAAGCUUUUGGAGAAAGCUGUGGGUAUAUUCCCAGAAUGAUGAGUGGAAGAGAUGAUAGUAAGAAUGACAAUUAUUUCAGUAACACCGAGACUGGUUUUCCUUUUGUUUCACUGUUACUCCUGAAACAUUAAUUAUAAGCUAGGACAUUAAAUUGCAUUUAUACUAAUGUAAAUAAGUAAUCAUAUAAAUCUGAGCAGUCUUAUUCCCCAGUAAGCACAUAUGGUAGGAGGGCAUGUUUAAAAGCACAGAACCAAAUCAUUACUAAAUACAGAGCCAUUGCUUAAACAUACAACACCCUUUAGGGAAUCUCCUACUCCCUCAACAGCAACAGAAAUGGUACAUUCUUCUGGCCAAACAGUAACUUCCAUAUGGCAUUAAUGUGACCAGCUGAAACUGGAGGUAAGGAUUGCUACUCAUGGUGAAUAUAGUUGUGCAUAUUUUGUGUAAAGUUUCAGAGUAUAAAGGCCAAAAUUUGCCCUGUCACCCUGAGAUCUUUAACUUAACUUAAACCACAUAAAUAUAUAGCAAAUACCAUGAGUUGUACUUGGUAUUUCUCUGAUUAACUCUUUUCAAAUUAAUUCCAUGUGUGGACUUUUAUUUUUCUGGAGUUCCUGGUUCCAGUUUAACCAAAGCAUCCCAAUUGCUUUCCAGGAUAAAAAGGCCACAGCUGGUGUUAUCUAGCAAUAGCUAUUUCAUGAUGGCUUAAUGAAAAGCAUAAGCGGGCCCUAGACAUGUGUUUACAACAGAACCUAUUAAUUUCCACACAAGCUGAAGGUACUCUAUGAUUUUGCAGGAAGAGAGAGCUGCUCAGAAAACAGAGCCCUAGGACUUGUGAUUCUAAAUCACUGAUAAGAAGGUUUUCUAUUAUGUUUCAAAAUUCCUAAGCCAAGCCAGACAAAGUGCUAAAUAUUAGUUUUUGAACAAAAAAAUAAAGAAAUAAUGAAAAGCUGUUCUUCUCUUACAGACUAUAAUUUCAUUGCUCCAAAUACAAAUAAUCUCUCCACUCAUCAGGGACAACAGAGCAUCAACAGUUCCUGCAUCUCUGCUGUUUUUUCCCUUUGUUUUUUUGCCUGUCUUUAGGGAAAAAUAUACCUAAGUAUAUUUUAUAUAUUUUAUAUAUUCAGCUUUCUGAAUAUAUCCCUAUAGUCACAGUGUUCAGCUGCCUAGUGUAGGAAUCCACCUUCUGAGAGCUACCCUGAGGCCAUCACCUAACAAGAGGCACCAGUGCUGGAUGGGAUGCCAUGUGCCAUUUCUUUACAGCACUGCCAGUUCCAGCCCCUCCACCUGCCUACCUGGGGUGCCAAGAGCACUGGAACAACUGCUCCUCAACCACCUGGUUAAAUGUUUUGGGGUUUAUUUUUAACACAGAUCAGUUCACUGAUCUCAUUUUCCAUGUGGCCUCAGGGGGUGCCUUGGGAAGAAACAGUUGUGCCAAAACAAACAGUGUGAGACGAGAACAAGUGGCUGAAGGUCAGGAGUGCUGAGCUGGCGUUGUCCCGAGGAGCACUGCAGCCAGGACACCGCUCCCAUGGCAGGCACAGAGACCUGAGUGCCUUUGGAUCCCUGGGGGCACUCUGUGCAAACCAGGGGCUACAGCCACCAGCAGAUGAAGGCUGCUGCAGGAGGAUGCUUUGAGUCUUCUGGAGUCUCCGACAUCACGUAUAACAUGUAUAUGUGUCAUCACAAAUAACGCAUCAGUUGUGGCACUUGCAUAGAACAGGGUAGCUCAGACUUGUGUAUAGUCAUGGCUCUUCUUUAGCACUUUCCUUUUUUACCUAUAUGUUGUGAAGACAGAAAGAGUGGGGCCCUUGAAACACAAGAAGUGUUCUUUUAAUACCCCAGUUAGAUAUCUUCAAAAGGUAACUGAGCUGUAUCACCUGCACUGUACUUUGAGCACUAUUUAACUCUGCUUUUAUUAGUUUAUCAUUAUUUUCCUAAAUUUCAUUAAGAGCCUGAGGCUGGAAAAGUGCACAAGAAAUAAAAACAAGCUCUACCUUCCUGUCAGCUGCUAACAGUCUUUCAAGCAGUUAAUCAGAAUGCUCUCUGAGAAUAAGAGAAAUGAUAUAGUGAAUAAGUCCUGCUUGGUCAGGUUUAUUACUUAGUUUACCAUCCUUGCUUCCUUGAGAAGAUGGUUUCUGAGGCUGUAUAAGAAGGUCAAGCCCCUUCUGACCUUAGGGUCGUCAGUUGGAUCAUAAGAUCAGUAGAAAUUCUAGGACACAGCUGUAGAGGUAUGUGAGCGCAUUAUAUUUUAAAAAUUAGAUCAUGACAAGGCAGUCAUAUAUUUUGUUGAAAUCAGAACCAAGAAGCUUACAGAUAGUAUUGAGUAAAUAAAUCCCAUUUUAUUUUUAAGGAAUUAUUUAAGGGAUUUAAAAAAAUAAUCUUCUUAUCUUUAAACCACUGGAAAUGGAACAGUAAGCAUAAACCUAUCUGGAAUAUUAGGAACUUUGAACAUAGAUGUUUGGUUCUUUAUCUAAAGAGUCCUACUCUGCAUAUGAAUAAUAUGCUAAUUAUGAACCACUUGCUAACUUGUAAAUCUGCAAUAACACACUUGCUUCACUACAUGCAACAGAACUCUAUAAAUAAGCAGGUGAAUUUUACUUUUCCUUUUACAAGGUAUCAGUGUCACUAAUAGCAAGCUGUGCAUUCUUAAUUAGUGGUUAUGUUGCCGAGAUUAAGUUACUUCUGGUGCAUUAAAAAUAGCCUUGACUAUUCCUCUUGUCUCAGAAUUGCCUGGCACAAAUCUUUCACAGGAGUGAUGCCUGUGUCACACAAUACUGUAGUGACAUUAUUGGAUUAAAGACAGUCAGCAAGAAGAGUCCAAAGCACUUCCCAAGAUAAGUUUCUCAGGAAAAGUGCUUUCUACAGAAAACCUAUGCUCUUAGGAGAGAGUAAUCCACCAUCUACUGAGAAUAACAGCAGCCUUACCAUGAUAUUAGAUAGAAAGCAGGGUAGAAAAGCUCUUUGGCAGAAAAACCUCUUAGGACAGCAUGUAGCACAGUAGUUGGAUAGAAAUAAGGCUAUCCAACUUGACAUUUUUUCUGAAACUUGUUCAAUUUUUUUAAUGGUAUAACAAUGCUGGAGAAGAGUUGAGUAGGUAAACUGACAGGCUGCUUUCAUCUCUGGGUGCAUUUUAUACAAUUUACACCAUGCAAUUCUACCACUGUGUGCUCCUUCUGACAAGCAGUGGGGACAGUGUCAUGUUGGCUUUUAGUGAACAGAAAAUUCAGCAUAACCUCCAGAUACUGUGCUACUGAAUAUGUUCGUGCUACACCUAUGUCUUGAAUAUCCUGUGUGGUUCAGAUUCCCCCCUCUUCUCAAUCUCAUGAAAUGAUCUGUUAAGAGGAGAAAAGAUACAGAAAGGGGUUGAUGGAUGUACUUAUCUACCUGUGCCAUUCUGUUAAUCUUAACAACUGAAAACCAAUGGUAAUCUAGAAUCAAAGUCAACGUAUUUGACUUCCUUUUUUUUCAGAAAAUUGACAGAAAUGUUCUGUUGUCUCUCAGAAAUGACUGAAAAGGGUGUGGCAGAGAGCUGUUAAAUAAUGACCUUUCUGAAGAUGAAUAAGGAGCAUUUGCAACAUUUCAUAAGCCAAAACCUAGAAUUAAAUUCCUAGAAACAUAUUGAAAUAUCAAAGGGAAUUAUUUUUUUCACACAGUCUCUUGCUAAAUUGAGUCACCUUUUGGCACAAAGGAGUUGCAAGGUAAAAAGCUGUGAAUGAGACUUAAGAGCAAUUCUAGCAAGGGUAUUAGAUGAUAUGAAUUCUCAAUCUGACCCCAAACUGCUGAUUUUAUAUUCCUGUGACUUGUACCUCAGUAGUAGAAGCUACUGCUGUGUAUAACUUGAAGAGCACAUACUCAUACAUUCAGUGCUACUGGAGCACAUAUACUGUAUUACAACUCAAUUUAUGCUAUCCAGAUAUUGGUUUUAGUAUUUUGGUAUUUAAGAAAGAAAUAGACUAUUGAAGUACAAUUUGUACAAUUGUUUUUUAAUUAUUACAAGAUAUAAGUACACUGAGAUGUAUUAAUGGCUAAAUAAAAUUGUUAUUAGCAUGAGUCUAUACACAGACCAUCACUAUAAUAUAAAAGCAGAUUCCAAAACACAUACAAAUUGUUUUAAUAAAGGUACAUAUUUUUGCUAGCCCAUCAAUUAUAUUCUGGGUCCUGCUCAUUUACACUUGUACAUUUGAAAUUCAAAUGGAACUGUAGUAGGAUAACACCUCUGAAGCUGCUUUUAACUAGAAGCCCUGAGAAAUUCUCGCUGAUGCCCAGCAGGAGGUUUUCAUUCAGCCGCUGGAGCAGAACCUCAUUUUCCCCUUGAACACUGCCAGGGCUUUUUCUUCAAUAUGGAGGCGCAGGGCUCGCUUUUAAGUAAUGAAUGAGAACUGCUGGGCAAGGCAUAAAAGCUUCCACACUGAAAAAACAUCCAGUUCAUGUUACUGUCCCUAGGUGUGCAUGCCUUUAUGUGCCUAGUAGACAAUAAAUAAUCCCUCGUGGCUGAAAAAUACCCAGCUACUUGAUACAAAAAAUGUAAUCAAAAUUAUGUUUUUUCUUUUUAGGUGUCAGACUGUCAUGAAACGAAGACUAUAGCACAAUGUAAUAUACAUUUUGUGUCACUCCUUAAUCUCCCUUUACUGUGCUGCCUGUACUUUAAUCACCAAUCUGUCGUGUUUAACCGGGGCCCACAAGACACAUGCCGGCAGUGCAGGUGCACAGCAAAGUGUCCCUGCCCUUUCUCUGUGUCCCUGCCCUUUCUCUAUGUCCCUGCCCUUUCCCUGUGUCCCUGGCACCUGCAGUCCUGCUCCAGGCUGAAGCAGCAUCCCAGCUGUGCCGAGGGUUCCCAGGCCCCAGCACCAUGCCCUACUCCCCGAGUGCCUCCCCGUGAUGCUCUGUGCUGGGAGGGUGCAGCCCGUGCUGCAGUGGGGCAGAAGGCUGUGUGCCCAUCACCACAGUGGCUGCCUGCUCCUCCCCUGGUGUGCUGUGACACAGCAGUCCCUUGCCUGUGGGAGCCCCUGGUGCUGGCCUGGCCUGGCCCCCACACUGUGCCAGGGUGGCAGCCCUGGGCAAGCUGCCCCUGCAGGUGCCCUUGGAGAGCUGGCUCCAAGAGAAGCCCACGUCUGUUUCCCUGCAUUUCAUAAGUCUGCUGGAGGCUGCCCACUGACAAUUAAAUGGUUUGUCUUCAGGAAACUGGAGCUGUAGAGACCCUGACUCCUUAGGUUUCAGAUGCUAUUUGAUGCUUCAGGGGGUCUUUGUCCAAAAAGGUGGAUCCUGGGCAGCACCUGUGGCUCUUCAGGGUCUUCCACUCCAGGAAAUUGAUCUGAGUGAGAACAUGCAGGUCUUUUUCUAGAGUUACUUUUUCUAUGAUUCAUAGAGUAAUUCUAUUGAGAUUUGGGUUUUUUCAGUGCUGGCAAAAGAUAUGGAACAAAGGAGCCCCAAACAAAAAUCUGUCUGGCAUGACUGUCAGAGAUGCCUUGAUUUCUGCCAAUCCUCCAGCUGCUGGUUCCAUCUGUUGUCUCCUGAUUUUUUUAUCACUUGCAACCACCUUAGGGCACAAGCCACUUCUGUGUGUGCGAAUCUAAAGGGACUGGUAUGACACAAUACAAAUCCUCAAUGCUUCAGCAACACUACAUAUAAUAUUAAAAAUGCUCAGAAAGAGAUUUCCAGCCACAUCUCAAAGACACUUCAAAUCAAUGAAUAAUCAAGUGUUCCUUACACUCUAGUUAAACAUAUGUGGCAGCUCUGGUUUUUGUACUGAAGUGUCUUUAUUGUUACCUUACUAGUUUUCUUUUUCCCAAACAUCCCUACAGGGCAGUUUCAGAGCAUUUGAUUGGCAGUGCCUGUCUGUGCAUGCCCACUGAUACAUGCUGAUCUUCUGAGUAAGAAAUGAGCUGGUGGACAAUGACUUUGAAUCACCAAGGGUUACUUGUUCAUCAACAUUUCACUGUUGUCUUCUCUUGACCCUACAGCUGCUCCUCCCAGUGUGACUUGCCUCAGCCUCUCUUCCUCUUCCCAGUCUGGUUUCCCAUUUUCAUUCCUCCUCCCUUUCCCACAAGCCAGAUUUUUUCAUGCUCUGUCAUGCAGGGCUGGGAGUGCACCCAGCCUCUGCCAGGCAUGUCCAGGGCUUGGUCACAGCCUCCUGUUGUCAUCUGCAAUGCUGUGCUGGGCUACCUUGCAACUGUGAGACAGUGCACACAGUGGACUGAGCUCCUCUAUGGAUUUUACUCCAGGGAGCUGUGGAAGAGCUGGCCUGCUCUCCGUGGGAGAACUGCAGGACGAUGUAACAAGGACUAACAGAACUCUGAAGUAGAUGACCUGCAGCCACAUUAAUUAUUGAUCAUGUUAGCAGUUGAUGAGUUAUGCUAAAUUGAUCUGUGGCAAGAUAAUGUGAAUUAAAAGCUGCUUAAAUAUUUAGUUUUGGUCUCUUUCUAUAUGGCAGGAAUUUGAAUGAAAAGCUACACAGGAGUCAUGGCUGGAAUCAACUUUUCAGUAAAGACAAGCCGUCAGAAGAAAAGGUACUAUCUAAAUGUAAAUAAUGAUUUAUUAGAGGAGGAAUCUCUUGCAGGUAAACAUUUUAAUGGAGGACUGGAAAUCCUUCCCCACAAAAUUCUCUAAAGGUGGGAUGAUAGAUUAAGAUUUUCUUGUUAUUAAUUUAAUUCCUCCAUAUUUUACUUUAAUUAAAUUCUGCUGCAUCUGAGGUAGUGCACAAAGCAUUGUAGGGAAAAAGAGAGACUAAAUGCCUGUAGGAAGUGAGGAGGACUAUUAGCUGAAACUCCAUAUGUUUGUUGCAGCACUGCAAUGCUGUACAGCUGGAGCACAGCUUGAGUGAAAUGAAUCCGUAGAUGAGUGGUGAGAGGAAGUAAGGGGGCUAAUUCUGACAUUGGAUACAUACAUGUGUGUGUGUGUAUAUAUGUAUCAGGCAAAAUAAUUUGCUGAUGACUCUGCACAGGGGCUUGUAACAGAAGGGAGCCAGUGCCCUGAGCUGAAGUGCCUUUGCCAGUGAGGUAAGUCCCACUGAAGAAAAAGGUUGGCAUCACUCCCCCUGAAGAAGGGCUGCACGGAUCCCCAUCAGCAUGCUUGGAUCCUACUGCAUUGCCUCACAAACUAUUUUGAAAGGCUUUAUGAUGUUAUUAAUAGUUUUGAAGUCUGACAUGCAUUCUUGGUUGGUUUAGGUGCUGCAGUUCCAAAUAAAUCCUUCCCUGUCUUCUCCUAGCCUUUCUACAAAGAAACAUCCUUAAUGUAAAGCAGUCUUGGUCCUGAAGUAGAAAUGUGUUUUAUUUUACCACUUUAGUGCAAACAGGCUUGAGUUAUCUUUAGUGAGAAGAGGAGGCUCCUGCCUACUGUAGUUUCUUCCUUACAGUUCAUCUGACUUCAUUCCUUCGUGUACCAGAGAGCACUUUGGCAUUCAAGGGUAUUUGUCUUGUUUUUUUCUCACCCUUCACAAAAGCUGUCCUCUGCUUAACAUGCACAUUUUUUCCUUCGGAGCCAUUUUCCUCUGUAGGCUCUCUGAGCUGGCCAGCUGCCAAACAGUAGGGUGAGCUGCAUGAAAAAGCCUUGAUCAUUGACAGGCUGUCUUACAAUUUCUUUCUUGUAUUCAAGAUGCAGAUGGAUGUUAUUAGAAAGGUUUUUACUUCGAAGUGCGCGGCUUGUCCACAUGGCUGAGAUUAGUGCUCAAUACUCAUAUAAUGCUUUUCAUCCUCAAAAGGGCUUUUUACAAGCUCCAGCCCCCAAAACACCCCCACAAGAUUAUGUUUUUUUCCCCAGUAAGUGAAUACUUGCAUAGUUUUGUUGAUUGAAUGAAGGACUGCAGCAUCUCAGGAAAGAUGUUGUAACUGAACUCUGGUGUGUCAGUUUCUUAUUUUUUUUCCAGAAUGCUUUGACAUUCCAUCUUAUCUCCCUCUUGUUUCCCUGGGAAAGGUAUCAGGCCCAAAAACUACUCUGGAGAAAAGGGAAAAGUUUGAUGGUUUGAUGACUACUGUACAGAGUUUCAGUUACUGGAUGAUCUCUUCCUGGAAGAAUAGAUGGAACACAAAUCGAUGGAGUCUGGUAUCACUGAUUUAAGGAGAAGCUGGGGCAGAUGUUGACUUGAGAUCUGGAGCACACCUUCUCAGGGGGGGUACCAGGAUAGAAGACCUCCCAUCAUCACUUUUACUCCUGAGGGACGAGGGGCAGACCUGUACCGUGGUCACAAGUGCAGAGGAAGUUUGUGUAGAUGUUCCUGAGCUUCAGAAAUACACGCUCGACCUUCAAGAGUUGCUGCUAUUUUGUUCAGUGUUCACACAGUGUGCAGCACAGGCCUCCUGCUAUGCCUCGUGAGUGCUGCUGCAGUACAGCCACCUUUCCUUUUGUUUGGGCACCUUUAUCAGUACAGCUGAAGGGAACACUGUGUGGACUGUGAAUUCCUCUCCAAGAUCAUGUAAAUUCUUGGACGGUACAUGCUGUUGCUCUUAGUAUUAAUCUAACUAGCUAAAGCUGGUUUGCAUACAUCUGCAGCUACAGCAGAAGUUUAAUGAUAAAUAUCCCCAAAUGUAGCCAUGCAAAUAGUGGCAAAUUCUGAAUAAAUGCAUGAAAUGCAUUUAGUAAGUAAAAAAAUCUUCUGUUUUUCCGUCAAGAAAAAAACAAAGGAUGAUUUUUCCUUUAUUGCACAGGCCAGGUUCUCUUUUGUAACCUUUAGAAUUUCAUACAUCUUAUAAAGGGAUCAUAAAACCUAUGGUAAACAUUCGAGGACUAUUUUACUAUGGUCUGUAUUAAGCUACUGGAUACCCUUCUAUCCUACCCUCAGGAUCGGGGGCACAGAGUGGUUGCUCCAUAUUUUGCCCAUACAUAAGUGAUUACUGGUUGGCAAAUAGCCACAAUAACAGAGGAUAUUAUGUAAAAAAUUAAUAGACAAAACCACCCAAACACAUGAACAAACAAACACACAUGCUCUUCACCACAGUGUAAAAGGUCCUAAAAGCUGGAAUUGCAAAUGGUAGCAAUCCCAGCCAUGUAUAAAUCCCAAAAAGGAAGAGACAUUCUUGGAAAUGGUGCCACCACUAAAGAGAGAGCAGAGAGGCUAAUCUUAUUUGAAGGAUAAGAUCAUCUCCCCUUGGUAGUGGCCUUACUUGUACCUAAAAUAAUUUAUCUUUGACUUAAAAUCUGACAAAAUUGGCUUCUGCCCAGUCCAAAGGGGACAACUGCUGUUCUCAAGGUCAGCUCUGGAGGGGUUCACCAGGCCAGUACCUCUGUUCCCCUAUAACUGUCUACCUCCAUGAAAGGUUAUGGAAUGAUCUUUUUAUGGUUCCAAGAAGGUGCCCGGAGAGAGGUAGAGGGGCAAUUCUGGGGGCUGGAGUUUGGCUGCAUGAGUCUGCUUCAGCUGCCAUGCCAUCUCCAGGAGAGAGAUGAAAAUAAGUACCUACCCAAAGAAAUGGGAAAAAAGAGCAUCCCUGGGCUUAUAACCAAACAGAGUGUAUAUAAUUUACUACACUCCCUCAAACUGGCAAUGUUUUAUUUCUUACCAUGCCAGACUGGUGCAGCCCAAGCAAACCAAGUGUUUAACUGUGGGUGACUAACUACAGGUGUAAUGAAUUAAAAGACAUGUGGCUAUGCCAAGUGCAAGCUUUUCAAAGUGUGAGCAUCUUCUUAAAAAUGAGGUUUAGCAAAUGAACAAAAUGCUCCCAGAACUGCUGAAUUUGUUUUCUUAGCAUUUUAGUAACUGUUUGACCUGACCAUUUCAAAUAACCACUCAAAAGAAAUGGACACAUUCAGGAGGGCAGAUACCCUGUAUUUCUAAGGCAAAACACUUCUAUAAAAUAACACAGUGAUUGCUUAUAGCUAUCCAAAAAGAUAUUGUGCUGAGCUGUCAUAUUUUGUGUUGCAGCCUUUUCAUACUGUUGAAAUAUCAACACUAUAUGUACUGCAUGUGUAUAGUUAACUCUUGGUUUCCUGGUAUAAGAUGGGUAGGAAACCUGUAUAAUGUAUUAACAUGACCAUAAAAACAUCCCCCCCCCCAAAAAAAAAAAAAUAAAAUCCAUAAUAAAUAAGGGUAAGGAUAGAUAAUACAGCCUGAAGAGUAACCAAUAAGCCAAAUGAAUGGCAUGUCUGGAAAUAUAUGUGUAUUUUAAAUUAUACUCAUUUUUUUGGUUGAAGCUGGAAAACAGAAAGACAAUGAGACUAAGAGAAAAUGUAAGUUGCAUAAACAUUUGACACUGUAAACUAUAUUUUGUUGAAUACUUGUAGUGUAAAAUAGGGGUUUCUGGAGAUAAUUGGAUGCUUUCUCUAAUAAUAACUGUCCUUACUCUAAAUUUUGAUGAUUAUUUACCAAUUUAUUGUUUAUUUUUUUUCUAUUCAGAAACAACUAGACUAUUUGCAGCAAGAGAAAAAGCCUAACAUAAAGGAUAGGCUAGUAAUCAUCAUGGAGGAUAUGAAUAAUCAGAAGUAUUUGCAUUAUACAAAUAUGUUGCUUACAGACACUAAAAAAGGUGUUAACACAACACAUCCUGAAAUACUAUUGAGAAAUUAUUGAAUAUAUUUGUACAUAGAUAGUUCUAUGUACAAUUCUCUUGUCAUUCAUUCAUUCCCAUUUAUAGCAGUUCAUGUAGUGUGUGAUAGGCCUUUGACACAGAUCUAUAACCAUCGAGAUUUGUGACACUGAGCAGAGUACAAUGAGAGCCCUCCAGAUCCCAUCCUCUGAAGCAAAAUAUCUCUGUGAAUCACAGGUAUUGUGUUACCAGACAGCACAGCAAAAAAAUUAACCAGAGCAAAACACUCGACUUGAUUCUGUUACAGCUAAUAGGACUGAAAUGAAAGAUAAUUGCAUAUUAAAAUAGAGUGGGUAGCUCUGUUUUGAUAUAGAGAUAUAAAGAUGUCAGGCAAGCUAGGCUGCAGCAGCAGGCAAUGGGUGCCCUGAAGUGAUUGAGGAAUGAAGCCCAAGAGAGCAUUCCUCACAUUCCUGUGGCACUCCUCCUAUACAUAUGCCCCACAAAAAAAGGGAAUUCCAGCACUCCGGAUUGGUGAGCUGAGCUUCAGAAAAGCUGGCACUUUUCUAUAGCUGCAGGCUUGAUUAAUUUGAAGGAAUUAUUAUCAUCUCUGGAAGAUGAACACGAGGCAUAUUUAAACUGUUAUUUUUUAGGGCAAAGGACAUGACAUUUCCAAUCUGUUACAAAAAAAAAAAAAAAAGAAAAAAAGAAAAAAAGAAAAAAAGAAAAAAAGAAUCUCCCAUCAGGACUUCUAGGAAGCACCAAUAAGCAAGAUGUAGAGAAUGUGGAGCACUCCCUAGUAUUUUCCCAAGAUCUGCCCAGAAUAAUUGGUAUAACUGCAAAAAUAUUUUGCUGACACAUAUGAGUGGGAUUAGCCCAAAGAGCUAUCUUUGUUAAUGAGCCAUAUCUAGAAAUUCAGUAGGUUUAGUAGAUUACUAUCUGAAGACACAGCAUUUUUGAGAGCCACUUAUGUCUAAAAGUGUAACAUUUUUUUCUCCUGGGACUAGCAGUGUACGUUCAGUAAGGAAAUGAUGGUUAUCCCUGGGAAUUUCCACAAAUAAAAAAAAAAUCAAAUAAAGAUGACAGUACCUUACUUGGAA